rnacentral:rRNA from 1 species
CGCAAGCCUGAUGCAGCCAUCGCCGCGUGUAUGAAGAAGGCCUUCGGGUUGUAAAGUACUUUCAGCAGUGAGGAAGGCGAGUACGUUAAUAGCGUGCUCGUUGACGUUAGCUGCAGAAGAAGCACCGGCUAACUCCGUGCCAGCAGCCGCGGUAAUACGGAGGGUGCGAGCGUUAAUCGGAAUUACUGGGCGUAAAGCGCAUGCAGGUGGUUUGUUAAGUCAGAUGUGAAAGCCCCGGGGCUCAACCUCGGAAUUGCAUUUGAAACUGGCAGACUAGAGUACUGUAGAGGGGGUAGAAUUUCAGGUGUAGCGGUGAAAUGCGUAGAGAUCUGAAGGAAUACCGGUGGCGAAGGCGGCCCCCUGGACAGAUACUGACACUCAGAUGCGAAAGCGUGGGGAGCAAACAGGAUUAGAUACCCCUGGUAG